UUUUCAAUACAGAAAGCGGAGCUCUGGUGGUUUACCAAUGGAAGGCUUAGAAAUGAGAUGUGCUGUAGGUAUUGAAGGCCACAGAAAGCCUUCUUCAGGAGUAACACCAGCAAAGAAAGUGAAAUACUGAAGUAAAAGAAGAGUGUAUAGUGCAGCAAGUCAUUUUAAUGUUGGUGCAGACUAGGUGAUCAUAUGGUUGUUCUAAACAAUCUUUGAGAUCAAAUUUUGUACUUAAAUUUGAUGAUAAAUAUUUACAGGCAAGCUCUAAAUGAGAUACAAAGUUAACCUGUAAAAUGACUUCUCUGCAUUCCAUUUAGAGCAUUUGUAUCUUUCCAGGUUUGUGCACUGGAUCUAUGUUUAUAUUAUAAAUGCAUAGAACAAUUUUAUGGAAAGAAGUCAAAAUUGUCAGAGAAAUAAGAUUGUCUUGAAGCAUUCCAGCUAUUUUCUGUUACAUAGUGUGAAACAAUAAAUUUCCUUUCAGAUACUAUGAUACAAUAUAUUCACUAUGCAUGACUCUUAACAUGACAUGUAAUUUUGUAAAGAAUGUAAAAAAUACAUUUUUCUUAAACAAGUACAUAACCUGUAGUAGUUACUGAGCAUUAAUAUUUUUGUCAAAUAUAAAAAUAAUCUUUUAGCAACAGACUAAUUUUUCCAAGAAUAUACUGCUGCAUAAGAAACUAUAUAAAUGUUAGGUUUGUUUAUAAGCACUAUGUGUUAAUAUUUACAUAGACUUUGGGUACUUUAAGAUACUUCUCUGUUGUUUUCAAUGUACAUUUUAAUUGUGAAAAUUUACUUGUUUCAUAAAGUUUUUUACCCAGAGUUUUUUGUUUUAUGAAUUCUGAAGUUAUUCAAUGAAAUUUCAUAGUCUGUUUUUUAACUGUUGGUUCAAUUGUUAUAACUUCUGUAGUCAUCUCAACUUCUUAAAAUACAGAUUGACUUAGACAUGA